ACGUGUGUGAGGAGAAGAGUUGGGCGUUGAUUGUCCCAGUCCCGCAAGGGGACGUGGAGGCCUCGGCCAAAGCGGAUUCUUUAAAUCAUGCACCAAGAAAAACUCAAAGGAAUACUAAGGCGCCCGUACCGGAAACCGACACAGGUUGGUGGGCAUAAAUGUGCCAAGGCGCGUGAGUGAAACCUCGUUAAGGAACUCGCAAUCUAGCCCCGUAACUUCGGAAGAAGGGGUGCCCACUUUUAGUGGGUCGCAGUGAAAUGGGUGUACCGACUGUUUAUCAAAAACACAGCACUCUGCUAAGUCGUAAGACAACGUAUAGGGUGUGACACGUGACCAAUGCGGAAAGAUUACGGUAAGUGGUUAGGCGCAAGCCGAAGCUACGAGCCCAAGUCCCCGUGAAUGUCGGCCGUAACUAUAACGGUCCUAAGGUAGCGAAAUUCCUUGUCGGGUAAGUUCCGACCUGCACGAAUCGUGUAACGAGUGCACCGCUGUCUCAACGAGGAGCUCAGCGAAGUUGUAAUGGCGGUGAAGAUGCCGCCUACCCGCAGCAGGACGGAAAGACCCUAUGCACCUUUACUGUACGCUGUUACUGUGUUUUCGAUUUUCAUGCUUAGCGUAAGUGGGAGACUUUGAAUCGCUUCUUUCGGGGAGCGACGAGUCGUCAAUGAAACACCACCCUUGGAAAUUGGAAACUCUAACCCUCACCCAUUAUCUGGGGAGGGGACACUGGCAGCCGGUCAGUUUUACUGGGGCGGUAUCCUCCUAAAGAGUAACGGAGGAGUACGAAGGUUGGCUCAACCUGGUUGGUAAUCAGGUGACGAGUACAUGGAUAUAAGCCAGCCUAACUGUGAGACCUACAAGUCGAGCAGAUGCGAAAGCAGGUCCAAGUGAUCCGGUGGUUGAAAGUGGAAUCGCCAUCGCUCAACGGACAAAAGGUACGCUAGGGAUAACAGGCUGAUCGAGUCCAAGAGCUCAUAUCGACGACUCGGUUUGGCACCUCGAUGUCGGCUCAUCACAUCCUGGGGCUGGAGAAGGUCCCAAGGGUCCGGCUGUUCGCCGGUUAAAGUGGUACGCGAGCUGGGUUCAGAACGUCGCGAGACAGUUCGGUCCUUAUCCGCUGUGGGCGCAGGAAAGUUGAGGGGUUUAAACCUUAGUACGAGAGGACCGGGUUUAACGAACCUCUGGUGUUCCAGUUGUCGUGUCAACGGCAGUGCUGGGCAGCUACGUUCGGAAGAGAUAAGCGCUGAAAGCAUCUAAGCGCCAAGCUCCUCCCAAGAUUGACUUUCCCUGAAGAGUCGUGGUAGACCACCACGUUGAUAGGCCAUAGGUAUAAGCGCAGUAAUGUGUUGAGCUUAGUGGUACUAAUAACUCGUUCGGCUUGAUCC
rnacentral:rRNA from 1 species